UAUAAAAUGGAAAUUACCCGUGAAUCUGCUAUAGAUGAUGAGGAUUUUAGAAAGAUUGCCGAUAAUAAUUUCCAAAGAAUCCGCAACAAAUCAGCCAAAUGCUGCCUAUAUACUUUUUUAAAUGUCAAAUUUUUCGUAGAUUGGGUAUGCCGAUGGUGUGUCAGAUGGAAAGAAAGAAACAUUUCAAAUA